AGGGAUCGACCCAUGCUAGGCUUAUGCCCCUGGGAUACUAUCCAAUAAGAGAGAACUCCCAUCACUUAGUUUAAUUAAUAUUUGAGAUUGUUAUUUCGGUCGCCACCACAUUUUUUAUACUUUGAAACAAUGAUACAUCAAUAGGAACCAAGUAAUAGACCUUCUAUACAAUAACGAUGUAUAAAGAUUCAUUGGUACAUCAACAAUGUGUUUCAGAAUCAUCAAUAUCACAACAAUGAAAUAAGAGUCUUUUGGUAUAUCAAUGAACAUUUUGACACUUUAUAGGAUGGAAACAACUUCGUUGGUAACGUAGAACAAUACAUGUUUUAGGACAACCUCGGAAUCUUACUUGAUGGAACAUUGGUGUUUUCAUGCCAAAGAACAUUGUUAGAGUAUGCUUUACAUACCUCGUUGUAGAUUCGGAUACCAAUUCAACACAACUUCCCGCCUUUACAAAUCACUUAUCUACAAUGAAAUGUUUGGCAUCUAGUAUUAGCAACCCAACACCACAAUUCUCUUCCAUAAUUCCAUACUACCAAUAUUUGCAAAACAUUCCAAAAACCAACUUGAACAAUAGGUUUAUGUGUGUAUAUAUAUAUAAUCAUCAUUUCAAUACCACAUCAUCAAUACCACAUCAUCACCCCAAAUUCCUUCACAAUUUAACAUAAUCCAACCAUGCACAAGAAUAAUCCAACAUCAUUUCCAAUCAUCUUUCAACAACAAUCAAAUAACAUACUUCUUAUGCUCACAUGCAUAUAUAUAUAUAUAUACAUAUCCAUAUAAAUAACACCAACAUAAUUUACAUCCUUACCAUAAAAUGGCCCUUUUGAUUUCGAAGUCCUGUUGGCACAAAUAAGGGGUGCUUCUCGAAGCCCUCGAGACGGUGAACACAACUACGGAAUCAAUUUGGAUUUUCUACGGUUGAAUCACAAGAUAAUUGGAGUUGAA
rnacentral:lncRNA from 1 species